rnacentral:rRNA from 1 species
AUUGAACGCUGGCGGCAUGCCUAACACAUGCAAGUCGAACGGCAGCAUGAGAGAGCUUGCUCUCUGGGUGGCGAGUGGCGGACGGGUGAGGAAUACAUCGGAAUCUACCUUUUCGUGGGGGAUAACGAAGGGAAACUUACGCUAAUACCGCAUACGACCUACGGGUGAAAGUGGGGGACCGCAAGGCCUCACGCGAUUAG